rnacentral:rRNA from 1 species
ACUGGAAUGAAUGAGCUAAUUAGGGGUAAACUUUUUUAUUAAAAUUUAUAAAAUUUUAUUAUCAAGUAAAAAGGCUUGGUUAUUGUUAAGUGACAAGAAGACCCUAAGAGUUUCACUAUUUUAUAUUUUGGUGAGUCUUAUGUGUUUGUUAGAGGGCUAGGGUAUAAAUUGGUUUAGCUGGGGCGGUUGGAAUAUUAUCAAUUUUGUUAAUUACUGAAAUGACAGAAUUAUAUGGUCGUGUAUCCUUUGUUGGAAUGCAAUAUAAAUUACCUUAGGGAUAACAGCAUAAUCUUUUUUGAGAGAUCUUAUUGACAGAAAGGUUUGUGACCUCGAUGUUGGAUUUGAAUAACUUUUAGGAGCAGCAUUUAUAAAAGUUGGUCUGUUCGACCAUUAAAUUUCAA